UCCGGCUUGACGCCGGCAGUCCCCCGAGAGUCCUCAGCUUGACCUGUUAGUAACACGGGGCAAGGGUUGCGCUCGUUGCGGGACUUAACCCAACAUCUCACGACACGAGCUGACGACAGCCAUGCAGCACCUGUCUCGCGAUUCCCGAAGGCACCAAGGCAUUUCUACCGCGGUCCACAGCCGUUCGAGCCCAGGUAAGGUUCUUCGCGUUGCGUCGAAUUAAACCACAUGCUCCACCGCUUGUGCGGGCCCCCGUCAAUUCCUUUGAGUUUCAGCCUUGCGGCCGUACUCCCCAGGCGGGGCACUUAAUGCGUUAGCGCCGGCACCCAGGGGGUCGCUCCCCCAGGCACCUAGUGCCCAUCGUUUACGGCGUGGACUAC
rnacentral:misc_RNA from 1 species